UACGAAGGGGACUAGCGUUGUUCGGAAUUACUGGGCGUAAAGCGUGCGCAGGCGGUUUUGUAAGCCAGAUGUGAAAUCCCCGGGCUCAACCUGGGAAUGGCAUUUGGGACUGCAAGGCUUGAGUGCGGCAGAGGAGACUGGAAUUCCUGGUGUAGCAGUGAAAUGCGCAGAUAUCGGGAGGAACACCAGUAGCGAAGGCGGCUCGCUGGGCCGUUCCUGACGCUGAGGCGCGAAAGCCAGGGGAGCGAACGGG
rnacentral:rRNA from 1 species